CCUACGGGAGGCAGCAGUGGGGAAUAUUGCACAAUGGACGGAAGUCUGAUGCAGCAACGCCGCGUGCGGGAUGACGGCCUUCGGGUUGUAAACCGCUUUCAUCCAUGACGAAGCGAGAGUGACGGUAGUGGGAGAAGAAGCACCGGCUAACUACGUGCCAGCAGCCGCGGUGAUACGUAGGGUGCGAGCGUUGUCCGGAUUUAUUGGGCGUAAAGAGCUUGUAGGCGGUUUGUUGCGUCGGAAGUGAAAACUCAGGGCUUAACUCUGAGCCUGCUUUCGAUACGGGCAGACUUGAGGAAGGUAGGGGAGAAUGGAAUUCCUGGUGAAGCGGUGGAAUGCGUAGAUAUCAGGAGGAACACCGGUGGCGAAGGCGGUUCUCUGGACCUUUCCUGACGCUGAGAAGCGAAAGCGUGGGGAGCAAACAGGCUUAGAUACCCUGGUAGUCCACGCCGUAAACGGUGGGUACUAGGUGUGGGGGACAUUCCACGUUCUCCGUGCCGUAGCUAACGCAUUAAGUACCCCGCCUGGGGAGUACGGCCGCAAGGCUAAAACUCAAAUGAAUUGACGG
rnacentral:rRNA from 1 species